UGUACCCUACGGGAGGCAGCAGUGAGGAAUAUUGGUCAAUGGGCUUACGCCUGAACCAGCCACGUCGCGUGAGGGAAGACUGCCCUAUGGGUUGUAAACCUCUUUAGGCGGGGAGCAAUGCCGGGCACGCGUGCCCGGAGGGAGAGUACCCGCAGAAUAAGCAUCGGCUAACUCCGUGCCAGCAGCCGCGGUAAUACGGAGGAUGCGAGCGUUAUCCGGAUUUAUUGGGUUUAAAGGGUGCGUAGGCGGAUUUUUAAGUCAGCGGUAAAAUGUCCGGGCUCAACCCGGGCCGGCCGUUGAAACUG
rnacentral:rRNA from 1 species